UUAGAAUUAACCAUUUAUAUCA
rnacentral:snRNA from 1 species